UACGAAGGGUGCUAGCGUUGUUCGGAAUCACUGGGCGUAAAGCGCACGUAGGCGGACCUUUAAGUCAGGGGUGAAAUCCCGGGGCUCAACCUCGGAACUGCCUUUGAUACUGGAGGUCUCGAGACCGGAAGAGGUGAGUGGAAUUCCUAGUGUAGAGGUGAAAUUCGUAGAUAUUAGGAAGAACACCAGUGGCGAAGGCGGCUCACUGGUCCGGUUCUGACGCUGAGGUGCGAAAGCGUGGGGAGCAAACAGG
rnacentral:rRNA from 1 species